CAGCAGCCGCGGGAAUACGGAGGGAGCUAGCGUUGUUCGGAAUUACUGGGCGUAAAGCGCGCGUAGGCGGUUACUCAAGUCAGAGGUGAAAGCCCGGGGCUCAACCCCGGAACUGCCUUUGAAACUAGGUGACUAGAAUCUUGGAGAGGUCAGUGGAAUUCCGAGUGUAGAGGUGAAAUUCGUAGAUAUUCGGAAGAACACCAGUGGCGAAGGCGACUGACUGGACAAGUAUUGACGCUGAGGUGCGAAAGCGUGGGGAGCAAACAGGAUUAGAUACCCCAGUAGUCCCUGUCUCUUAUAC
rnacentral:rRNA from 1 species